CUGAGCUGCAGCGUGGCUUCUUUGACAAGCACAUCUGGCUCUCCAUAUGGGACCGGCCACCUCGUAGCUGUUUCACUCGCAUCCAGAGGGCCACCUGCUGCGUUCUCCUCAUCUGCCUCUUCCUGGGCGCCAACGCCGUGUGGUACGGGGCUGUUGGUGACUCUGCCUACAGCACGGGGCAUGUGUCCAGGCUGAGCCCGCUGAGCGUCGACACAGUCGCUGUUGGCCUGGUGUCCAGCGUGGUUGUCUAUCCCGUCUACCUGGCCAUCCUCUUUCUCUUCCGGAUGUCCCGGAGCAAGGUGGCUGGGAGCCUGAGCCCCACACCUGCCGGGCAGUAGGUGCUGGACAUCGACAGCUGCCUGGACUCGUCCGUGCUGGACAGCUCCUUCCUCACGUUCUCAGGCCUCCACGCUGAGUGACCUUGAGGAACCCUGGGAGCUCAGGAAGGAAGGAGCGCCCAGAAGCAGGGACAGGGAGCUGGUUGGGGAGGACCAGAAGUCAG
rnacentral:lncRNA from 1 species